GUGAAUCAUCAAAUCUUUGAACGCAAAUUGCACUCUCCUCGGAGAGUAUGCCUGUUUGAGGGUCAGCCUAAAAAAAAUCACCACCUUUGCUGUUCCCCGUUGACUUUCGUCGGAAAUGGGGUUAUCUUAAACCUUUUGGUUUAACCACCUAAAAUUUUCCUUUUUGUUCCCUUGACGGUUCUAAGGUUUUAUUCUUUUCACGGUUUAGGUAAC
rnacentral:misc_RNA from 1 species